UACGGGGGGGGCAAGCGUUGUUCGGAAUUACUGGGCGUAAAGGGCUCGUAGGUGGUCAACUAAGUCGGACGUGAAAUCCCUCGGCUUAACCGGGGAACUGCGUCCGAUACUGGAUGACUUGAGUUCGGGAGAGGGAUGCGGAAUUCCAGGUGUAGCGGUGAAAUGCGCAGAUAUCAGGAAGAACACCCGUGGCGAAGGCGGUUCUCUGGGACGGUACUGACGCUGAGACGCGAAAGCGUGGGGAGCGAACAGG
rnacentral:rRNA from 1 species